AUGAAUCUCUCGGGAUUGUCAACGGGGAAAUGGGGGUAAAGUUAUUUAAACGCUGUAAAUGAACUGGUUUAAUUCAUUACAGUGAAAUGAUCUGUCUUAACAAACACUUCACUCUUAUUUCAAAUAAAAUGAAGACUUAAAAGUUCAGCCAUUGACACGAGCUUACAUAUAGAUCUAUUCUAAUCAAGGUGUUUUUCAGCUCCAAAAUUCGAAAAAUAAUAUUUUAACUGCAUGGAUGAAAUUGUGCAAGUGUGAACCUGGUGUUGUUGAUGCAAGUUGUUAGAACCAUGCGUCAGGUUGAAGCUUACAUCAAUGGGUAGUUUGUAUUAAACGCCAAAUUAUUUUAAGUGUGGAAAAGAUACGGCAGAAAGGCGUUUUGUUAAUGUAGUUCUUUCUUGAAUUGCUUGUUUCUGAUUAAAAAUGCGGAAAAAGUGAUGUUUAAAGUGAGCGAAGUUUAUUGUGAAGAACAAGAUUGAAAUAUGUUAUGUUCGCCAAGCACCUUCCCAUUGUCCACUGCGAUAGCUUUAGGUUAUGUUUGGGUGAAAAUGAAAGUGUCCUUCGUCGAAAGUCGUCAAAACUCAGUCAAAUGCCUCAUCAUUGUCCACCAUUCCACGCCCAGAAGACAUGCUAGCUGUCCCAAAAAGCACCACCAUAAAUGCCCAUUUAUCCUGCUCCCUGCCGACAUGACCGUAUUAUUUAAAAAGUGGGCACAAACAAGAAAACACACGAAAAAUGUCCUUCACACUCCGUCACGUAAUGUACACAGAACGAGGCUAAAGAGCGCGCCGUUCGCCGCUCCGUAAAAUGGCUUCCACGUCUCCCGUCUCUCCGCUUCUGACCCUCCUCCUUAUCGCUGCCUGGUUUUAUACCGCCAUAUUGGCUCUCUAAUAUAGACUGCCCGGGAUGGGAAGGUGCUUCUCGACACUACGUCACCGGCUCUACAUAUAAACACCACACUGUGCUUUAAAUAGUGGAGAAGAGACAGGCCGAGGGGGAGGGAAGGAGAGACUUAAGGCCGAGCUGCGGACGCGGCGGGACAGUGUGCAUUUGCAGGGAUCUCGGUGCAAAGCAUUGGUCCAUGUGCGCGUAUCUGCGGGACGUCUUUAGGUUUACAAAGAACCGCGUUCGGGGCAAACACUUCAGGAUUGGAUUACGUGUACGGAGACACGCGAUACCGUUAUGACGUCAAAGCCAUAGAUUUCAUCAACGUUGAUUACAGUUUAUGAUCCGUUAGACAUUCUGUAAUUCUAUGAUAUUCAAAUCUUUGUAUAUUGUUUAAAAUUAUUUGCAUGCGUUUUAAAAACAGUUGGGUUAAAACUUUUUGUUAACACUCAAGUUACAAGUCAUUUUGUCCAGAAAAGGUUGUUGACAAUGUUUGUAUGGGUGUGUCAAACCUCUAAAAUAUUGUUUUCAACCGUUAUAAUGCAGUUAAAACAAUAUAUUUGCAUUCAGAAUGCUAUAAUCAGAUAUGUUCACAUUAUAAAUGGAUUUUUAAAAUGUGGUUUUCACAAGGGGCUAUUUUGUUGUAUUACAAUAAAUCAUUUGGAAGAGGCA